rnacentral:lncRNA from 1 species
GUUGGGGGAAGAGAUACCACCAGCUGGCAUGGUUAAAAAUCAUUUUGUGUCUUUCUUAGUCGUCUAAAACCUAUUAUUAAAAGAGCAAACUCUUCUAGCAUAUGUCCUCUGGAGUGGUUCAUUUCCCUACUCUCUCUCUCUCUCUCUCUCUGCAUGUGCGUCUUAAUAGAAAGCCUUCUUUUCUAUUCUGUUACAGAGAUGGUUAUUUUGAAGAUUGCAAACUUCCUCCUGCCCAGUCCAAGUUGAAGUUCCGGGGGGAGGAAAAACGUUCCAGGCCGGCAGCUGUGCGCUGUACUGGACAACAAGCACCGCCUUUGUGGAGAGCCUCGUGGGAUGAUACCCAGGCAGAAGGUUAGAGAAAUGGGUCUCCAGCGGUUCCCUUUACUGGGAGGAAAGAGAUGGGGCCACACCUUCUUCGAAGAAGGCUUCGUUUCAUUCCCGCAGAUAUGAAAAACUAUGCUCAUGGUCCCCUCAACUUUUUGAAGAACAAGAUGGGCCCACAGCCAAUCCCCUAAACCCUCAAGUGAGCAGACAUCAAGUAGGGAAGACAGAUGGAAGACAGGCAGACUGUAGCAAGCUGCUCCUCCUGAAAAUUGACACCCUAGAGGGACAUUGGGGAUCACUCUCCACAUGGCCCCAGAAUGCAGCAUCUAGAAGGGCAGGAGAGCCCCUCCCCACAAGAGGCCUUUUGUGUGCCUGUCAGGCUGGGUUGUAUUUUUAGACUUAGCUAGGCCUGCUCUGGAUUUCCCCUCACACAGCUGCUGCCGCUGCUUUCCAAAGCCCAGCCUAGGAAGCCGGGCUUCCCUAAGCCUUUGUUUGCCUGAAGAACGGAAGAUAAUGUUUGACAGGGGAGGGAGAGUUAUGGGAGCCUGCAGAAUUCUUUCCUCAACUCCCAGACAAGAGGCACUCAGAAGGCUGAGGCAGGAGAUGAGUUCAAGAUUAGCCUGGGCUAUCUCAAAACAAUAAAAGAAGAAAGAAGAGGAAGAAGGAGGAGGAGGAGGAGGACGGCGACGACUAUGAUGAUGAUGAUGAGAAGCAGCAGCUAGGUGUGAUGGUACACACCUUUAAUCCCAGCCUAGGGUGGCCGGCAGAUCAUUGUAAAUUCAAGGCCAGCAUGGUCUGAACAGGCCUUGCCCCAUUUCUGGUCAGUCUGGGCAUUCAGGCCUGUGAGGCCACCACGCAGUCACAGAGGAAGACCUGUUGAAGCAGAGAAUACAGAGCUGAACAAACGGAAGCCAAGGUCAAAGCAAAUGUUUACUUAAAAUGAGGAAGGAUAUCAUCACAGAUUAUAGAUGUUUAAGAAGAUAAAUUCCACAGACCUUAUGAAGACCACAACAUAAGAUUUACUUAAUGGACACAUUUCUGUAG